rnacentral:lncRNA from 1 species
AAUCCUAAGUACACAUGACCUAAUAAAUGAAUGUUUUUAAACUAACUCAAAGUACAACUACGAUUUUUCUCUAAAAUGAGUUUAUUUAAGGUUUUCAAAAGUAACGUAAGUUAGCUUAGCCAUUUCGGUGGCUAAUGUAGCCUUCUCAAUCUAGCCUACACAUCUAGGCCAGGUUGGGGAGGUUAUAGACAAUGACAACAAGAGAAGUAAGAGGUGAGCAGUGCUAUAAGGUGUGACAGAUGUAGAGCAAAAAAAAUAAAAGAAAAG